ensembl:lncRNA
CGAUGAUUCAUUCAUAAAACACAGAUACGUUCACUUGUCGCCGCCUGCUGGUGUAGCAGUUAAUCGCGGUCUUAAUUUCAACAGCAAAGAAUGGUUAAACAAGUUUAAAGACUCAGACGAGGCCCAGUUAGUUCCGCUGGACUCUGAGAAGAAUGUAAAAUGAAAAUGCACAACCGAAAGAAAGGAUAUGGUUUUAAGGAGGACCGUAUGUUCAAACAUUAACGUUUUUAGAGUGGUGGGAAGUUUCGUGUAUCCCACAUGUCCGGGGCAGAGUGACACAUGUUUAAAGAUAUCCCUUUCCUUUUCCUCACCACUGCCCUCAACCGCCGUGAAUGUCCAUUACCCUGGUGACGGCCAUUACCCUUGAGUUCACACUGCAUGGGCCGCUAAAGCCUACUGAAUAUGUGCUUUGGACAGUGAGGUGUGUUUGACUUCAAACCAACGUCAUCUUUCUUCUGUUAGACAGAAGCCUGGCGGACAUGCGUCUCAAUUCAGACUGAUAUGAGAGAAAAUAUUGAGCCUGGAGCUUGACCAGUGCAUUGGAGGCCUUGGAAGGGCAGAACAGUGGUUGAGACGAGUCUGCAUGAGAUGACAGUCUCCAAGAAAGCUGUGUCCAAAAACACAAGCUUCUGUAACAAGCUCCAAAGAAUUCUCCCUGGCCUCAUGAGCUCAGUGUCAGACAAAAGCUUUGUUUAUAGAAGGAUGAUGCUUGCAGUGUGUCAUCCAUCCACUACUGAUGAUGACACAACAUGAACUAUUGUUUGUUCAUUUUUAAUGACAGCUCCCACCUCAAUAAAUUCACACGCU